CGAGUAUGCAAAUUGAAGUAUCCAGAAAGCAUCCUAGUAUAAACACUAGUUUACAAAUCUUGUUUCAGAUCUACUUGACAUGUGAACUGGAUCAUACUUCUGUGUAACCUGGUAAAGAAUACAGAGUAAGAGAAAUGUUAUUCCAAAGAGGAGGAGAGUAAGUGUAUCAGAAAAGUACGUCCUGGGAAGCCUGAAAAGUACAAAAAAGGGUGUGGCGUGGCCUCUGGGUUGUCCAGCCUCUGGUUCCUAGAAAUCUAGGUAGUGUCAGUCAUGGACUCCAUCUCAUAACAUGGACCUCAAAUUUGACCAGUGAUUGGUUGUCCACUAUCACAAGUUCUGCUCCAUCAUUAUGCCAGCACAUCUUAG
rnacentral:lncRNA from 1 species